CAUGCAAGUCGAACGAACUUCCGUUAAUUGAUUAUGACGUACUUGUACUGAUUGAGAUUUUAACACGAAGUGAGUGGCGAACGGGUGAGUAACACGUGGGUAACCUGCCCAGAAGUAGGGGAUAACACCUGGAAACAGAUGCUAAUACCGUAUAACAGAGAAAACCGCAUGGUUUUCUUUUAAAAGAUGGCUCUGCUAUCACUUCUGGAUGGACCCGCGGCGUAUUAGCUAGUUGGUGAGGUAAAGGCUCACCAAGGCAGUGAUACGUAGCCGACCUGAGAGGGUAAUCGGCCACAUUGGGACUGAGACACGGCCCAGACUCCUACGGGAGGCAGCAGUAGGGAAUCUUCCACAAUGGACGCAAGUCUGAUGGAGCAACGCCGCGUGAGUGAAGAAGGGUUUCGGCUCGUAAAGCUCUGUUGUUAAAGAAGAACGUGGGUAAGAGUAACUGUUUACCCAGUGACGGUAUUUAACCAGAAAGCCACGGCUAACUACGUGCCAGCAGCCGCGGUAAUACGUAGGUGGCAAGCGUUAUCCGGAUUUAUUGGGCGUAAAGCGAGCGCAGGCGGUCUUUUAAGUCUAAUGUGAAAGCCUUCGGCUCAACCGAAGAAGUGCAUUGGAAACUGGGAGACUUGAGUGCAGAAGAGGACAGUGGAACUCCAUGUGUAGCGGUGAAAUGCGUAGAUAUAUGGAAGAACACCAGUGGCGAAGGCGGCUGUCUGGUCUGCAACUGACGCUGAGGCUCGAAAGCAUGGGUAGCGAACAGGAUUAGAUACCCUGGUAGUCCAUGCCGUAAACGAUGAUUACUAAGUGUUGGAGGGUUUCCGCCCUUCAGUGCUGCAGCUAACGCAUUAAGUAAUCCGCCUGGGGAGUACGACCGCAAGGUUG
rnacentral:rRNA from 1 species